UACGUAGGGUGCAAGCGUUGUCCGGAAUUAUUGGGCGUAAAGAGAGUGUAGGCGGCCAGGUAGGUCUGCUGUGAAAACUCGAGGCUUAACCUCGAGACGUCGGCGGAAACCAUCUGGCUAGAGUCCGGAAGAGGAGAGUGGAAUUCCUGGUGUAGCGGUGAAAUGCGCAGAUAUCAGGAAGAACACCCGUGGCGAAGGCGGCUCUCUGGGACGGUACUGACGCUGAGACGCGAAAGCGUGGGGAGCGAACAGG
rnacentral:rRNA from 1 species